rnacentral:rRNA from 1 species
CAGUCGCCACGGGAAUACGGAGGGGGCUAGCGUUGUUCGGAAUUACUGGGCGUAAAGCGCACGUAGGCGGCUGUGUAAGUCAGAGGUGAAAGCCCGGGGCUCAACCCCGGAAUAGCCUUUGAGACUGCAUAGCUUGAACACGGGAGAGGUGAGUGGAAUUCCGAGUGUAGAGGUGAAAUUCGUAGAUAUUCGGAAGAACACCAGUGGCGAAGGCGGCUCACUGGACCGCUGUUGACGCUGAGGUGCGAAAGCGUGGGGAGCAAACAGGAUUAGAUACCCCCGUAGUCCCUGUCUCUUAUAA